rnacentral:rRNA from 1 species
AACGAACGCUGGCGGCAGGCUUAACACAUGCAAGUCGAACGCCCCCUUCGGGGGGAGUGGCAGACGGGUGAGUAACGCGUGGGAACGUGCCCUUCAGUUCGGAAUAACCCAGGGAAACUUGGGCUAAUACCGGAUACGCCCGAAAGGGGAAAGAUUGAUCGCUGAAGGAUCGGCCCGCGUCUGAUUAGCUGGUUGGUGAGGUAACGGCUCACCAAGGCGACGAUCAGUAGCUGGUCUGAGAGGAUGAUCAGCCACACUGGGACUGAGACACGGCCCAGACUCCUACGGGAGGCAGCAGUGGGGAAUAUUGGACAAUGGGCGCAAGCCUGAUCCAGCCAUGCCGCGUGAGUGAUGACGGCCUUAGGGUUGUAAAGCUCUUUCGUCCGGGACGAUAAUGACGGUACCGGAAGAAGAAGCCCCGGCUAACUUCGUGCCAGCCGCCGCCGUAAAAC